AACGGUACUUAACUUCGGAUCAAGCUGCUGUAAAUGUCUCUUUACAUUGUUAUUAUCCAUAAAAUUAUUUUUUUCAUCCCCCUCAUUGAAACUAAUAAGUUUUGCAAUGAAUUUUGAUUUUAGUCCUAAUACACCACCACCCACGCUAUAUAUGGGUGGGUUGGUCAGGUUAUUACGACCCGAUUGCAUAUUUUCAUGUGAGG
rnacentral:lncRNA from 1 species